GGGCUUUCGAUUAAAUAAAAAAAAUCGCGCGAUUCAGACGGUUUCUUCUACGAGCACCUAAGCAAACAGCGCGACCCUUCUUCACCCACGAGUAUCUUGACUUAUGAUCCCUUUAUAUAGGGAGAUAAACUUGGCCAUCAAAACAGAGGAGAGACGAUCGAGUGAUCCAACUAAGACUUGGAAGAGAUUUAGUGGCAUCUGUUGUUAAUUAGUCUGAGAAAAAGUAAGAAGAAUGGAGGGAGAGGGCACCGCUACCCAGGGAGGAAGCAGGACGGGGAAAACAAAGAUCAGUAUGAGAAAAUUGAAAUCAGAGAUGGCAAUGAUUUGUGAGGAACAGAAGAGGCUCAGAGAAGGACAAAGAGAAGUGCAACAAAAAUUUAAACAAGUUCAAGCCAAAAUCUCCUCGUUGCGACAAGAAGGAGACUCGGCAGGACACCCAGCUUUUUUGUUCAAGUACCAGUGACAUGUUGAAUGUGUAGUAGCAAAUACCAGUCUAUGACUUGUUUCUUUCAAUUAUGAAACAACAGUUAUCCCUGCUUGUGUUUUGAGCUUUCCCAUUAUGUAUGUUUUCUAUCAAAGUUGAAUUUCAAAAAUUGGUUCAAUAAGCACAAUGAGCUUCUCCAGCAGGGACC